GACGAACGCUGGCGGCGUGCUUAACACAUGCAAGUCGAACGGAAAGGCCCUGCUUGCAGGGUACUCGAGUGGCGAACGGGUGAGUAACACGUGGGUGAUCUGCCCUGCACUUCGGGAUAAGCCUGGGAAACUGGGUCUAAUACCGGAUAGGAGCCAUUUUUAGUGUGAUGGUUGGAAAGUUUUUUCGGUGUAGGAUGAGCUCGCGGCCUAUCAGCUUGUUGGUGGGGUAAUGGCCUACCAAGGCGGCGACGGGUAGCCGGCCUGAGCGGGUGGACGGCCACAUUGGGACUGAGAUACGGCCCAGACUCCUACGGGAGGCAGCAGUGGGGAAUAUUGCACAAUGGGCGCAAGCCUGAUGCAGCGACGCCGCGUGGGGGAUGACGGCCCUCGGGUUGUAAACUCCUUUCGCUAGGGACGAAGCUUUUUGUGACGGUACCUAGAUAAGAAGCACCGGCUAACUACGUG
rnacentral:rRNA from 1 species